rnacentral:lncRNA from 10 species
GGUAGAAUUCCAGGAAUGGUAGGAAGACGUUUUUAGGGCCUCACAACCCUGCUCAGCAAUAUUAGGCCAUAUUUAAAGGGAGCCUGACUUCCACCCAAAAAAAAAGGGUCUUCUUCAUCCUUCAAAACAUCACUUUAAAAAAAAAAAAAAAACCCUUUUCAUGAUUAAGGCAAUGUGCAAAUGCUGGAUAUGCAAACACGAUGGAGACACAGUUGUAGCAGUCAAAGAACUCUUGGUUUUGUUGGGGAUAUAAACAUGCAAGGAUAACAAAAGAUGCAAUAAAUACUGGGGAGGAGAGAAGCAGGAGGGAUUUGCUUUGAGCAGGGAAUUGGUUUUUCUAUUCAAUUUAUUUUGCAUAGCUAAUACACAUUCAUGAUAAAAAAUUGUAAAGGUAAAAAGACAUAUUACAGUAGAAAGUUUAUGUCUUUCCCACCCAUAAUUUCAAGACAUCAGGUGUACCUCAAGGAAGCAACCACUAUUACUACCUUUUGGCUAUCCUUCCAGAAAUAUUCUAAACAUAUACAAGCAAAAAUAUACCUACCUUUAUCCAUCAUCUCAGUACCUCUUCAUUAUUAAUAGAAAUCAUAGAAUGCUAUAUACUUUGCCUUUUCCAGUUGGCCAUAUAAAAGAUGUUUUCAUAUUUGAACACAAAUAUCUACCUUAUUUUAAAAAUAGCCACUGAGCACUUUCCUAAUGACAGACAUUCAGAAUGUUUCUACCUUUGCUUUUAUGGACAAUUAUGCAACAAAUACCUUAUAUGUACAUCACUUUACACAUGUUCAAGAUAUAUAAAGGAUAAAUUCUUAGAGGUGAGAUUACUAGGUCAAAGAUUGCACAUUUGUAAUUUUGAUUAGUAGUGCUACAUUUCUCUCCAUAAAAGUUUUACCAAUUUACAAUUCAUCAA